GAUGAACGCUGGCGGCGUGCUUAUUAAAUCCAGGUCGAGGGAACAAAUAAGUAUCUUGCUCCUUGGACUUUUGCGCCGAACGGUGGAGUAACCCUUGGUUAACUUCCUUAUAGUACUGGGAUAACUUCGGGAACCGGGAGCUAUUACCGUAUAACAUUUGGAACCGCUUGUUUCUAAUGUGAAAGAUGGUUUGGCUAUCAUUGAUUUAUGGACCCGGCCGGUAUUAGCUAGUGGGUAAGUAAACGGCUUACCAAGGCGACGAUACGUAGCCGACCUGAGGGGGUGAUCGGCCACACUGGAACUGAGACACGGUCCAGACUCCUACGGGAGGCAGCAGUAGGGAAUCUUCAGCAAUGGGCGAAAGCCUGACGGAGCAACGCCGCGUGAGUGAUGAAGGGUUUCGGCUCGUAAAACUCUGUUAUUAGGGAAGAACAAACGUGUAAGUAACUGUGCACGUCUUGACGGUGCCUAAUCAGAAAGCCACGGCUAACUACGUG
rnacentral:rRNA from 1 species